rnacentral:rRNA from 1 species
AGCGGCGGACGGGUUAGUAACGCGUGGGAACGUACCCAGAUCUAAGGAAUAGCCACUGGAAACGGUGAGUAAUACCUUAUACGCCCUUCGGGGGAAAGAUUUAUCGGAUUUGGAUCGGCCCGCGUUAGAUUAGAUAGUUGGUGGGGUAAUGGCCUACCAAGUCUACGAUCUAUAGCUGGUUUUAGAGGAUGAUCAGCAACACUGGGACUGAGACACGGCCCAAACUCCUACGGGAGGCAGCAGUGGGGAAUCUUGGACAAUGGGCGCAAGCCUGAUCCAGCCAUGCCGCGUGAGUGAUGAAGGCCUUAGGGUCGUAAAGCUCUUUCGCCAGAGAUGAUAAUGACAGUAUCUGGUAAAGAAACCCCGGCUAACUCCGUGCCAGCAGCCGCGGUAAUACGGAGGGGGUUAGCGUUGUUCGGAAUUACUGGGCGUAAAGCGUACGUAGGCGGAUUAGUCAGUCAGAGGUGAAAUCCCAGGGCUCAACCCUGGAACUGCCUUUGAUACUGCUAGUCUUGAGUUCGAGAGAGGUGAGUGGAAUUCCAAGUGUA